UACGAAGUGGGCUAGCGUUGCUCGGAAUCACUGGGCGUAAAGCGCACGUAGGCGGCUUUUUAAGUCAGGGGUGAAAUCCUGGAGCUCAACUCCAGAACUGCCUUUGAUACUGAGAAGCUUGAGUCCGGGAGAGGUGAGUGGAACUGCGAGUGUAGAGGUGAAAUUCGUAGAUAUUCGCAAGAACACCAGUGGCGAAGGCGGCUCACUGGCCCGGUACUGACGCUGAGGUGCGAAAGCGUGGGGAGCAAACAGG
rnacentral:rRNA from 1 species